UACGUAGGGUGCGAGCGUUGUCCGGAUUUAUUGGGCGUAAAAGGGCUCGUAGGCGGCCUGUCGCGUCGGGAGUGAAAGCCCACUGCUUAACGGUGGGUCUGCUUCCGGUUACGGGCGGGCUGGAGUAUGGCAGGGGAGACUGGAAAUUCCUGGUGUAGGCGGUGGAAUGCGCAGAUAUCAGGAGGAACACCGGUGGCGAAGGCGGGUCUCUGGGCCGAUACUGACGCUGAGGAGCGAAAGCGUGGGGAGCGAACAGG
rnacentral:rRNA from 1 species